ACAAGUAAUAAUGUAUAUUUUUUGCCGAUUUCUACUUGCCAAACUCGUUCCGCUCAACAAUUAAUAUCCUCGCAGAUUCGAGCACACUGCAAGCCAGAAGGGGACAGAGCACAUGCACAUAGAAAAACAAGAAACGUAAAACAAAAACCUCUCCGGUUUUUCUGCUGCCCGGUUCCGGCACUGUUGACACGCUAAUUUAAGCGCGGGCAAACAACGUAAAUGGUUCGGAGUUGGAAUGCCGUUAAUAAAUCAUAAAACAAAACAGGACGGUUCCAAUAAUAAAGAACGAAAGAGAACUCUGUAUUGCAAUGUGAUCGAGCAUUUGUUUGCAGUGUUGUGUUCUAUUUGCGAAAUUUAAUUCGCAUUUUUUCUGUUGCAUUGAAUUUCUGUGGUAUAUCGGAAUGCACCAAAAACCAAAGUCAAAAUAUAAAUAAUCAGUUUUUUUUAUGUGAGAACAGCAAUAAACAUGAAUUAAAAGGAA